CUACGGGCGGCAGCAGUGGGGAAUAUUGGACAAUGGGGGAAACCCUGAUCCAGCAAUGCCGCGUGUGUGAAGAAGGCCUGCGGGUUGUAAAGCACUUUCGGUUGGGAGGACUGCUUCUAGCACUAAUAUUGUUGGAAGUUGACGUUACCUUCAGAAGAAGCACCGGCUAACUCCGUGCCAGCAGCCGCGGUAAUACGGAGAGUGCAAGCGUUAAUCGGAAUUACUGGGCGUAAAGCGCGCGUAGGCGGCUAGAUCAGUCGGGUGUGAAAGCCCCGGGCUUAACCUGGGAACUGCAUCCGAUACUGGCUAGCUUGAGUACAGGAGAGGAGAGUGGAAUUCCACAAGUAGCGGUGAAAUGCGUAGAUAUGUGGAGGAACACCAAUGGCGAAGGCAGCUCUCUGGCCUGAUACUGACGCUGAGGUGCGAAAGCGUGGGGAGCAAACAGGAUUAGAUACCCUCGUAGUC
rnacentral:rRNA from 1 species